rnacentral:rRNA from 1 species
GACGAACGCUGGCGGCGUGCUUAACACAUGCAAGUCGAACGGAAAGGCCCUGCUUUUGUGGGGUGCUCGAGUGGCGAACGGGUGAGUAACACGUGAGUAACCGGCCCUUGACUUUGGGAUAACUUCAGGAAACUGGGGCUAAUACCGGAUAGGAGCUCCUGCUGCAUGGUGGGGGUUGGAAAGUUUCGGCGGUUGGGGAUGGACUCGCGGCUUAUCAGCUUGUUGGUGGGGUAGUGGCAUACCAAGGCUUUGACGGGUAGCCGGCCUGAGAGGGUGACCGGCCACAUUGGGACUGAGAUACGGCCCAGACUCCUACGGGAGGCAGCAGUGGGGAAUAUUGCACAAUGGGCGGAAGCCUGAUGCAGCAACGCCGCGUGCGGGAUGACGGCCUUCGGGUUGUAAACCGCUUUCGCCUGUGACGAAGCGUAAGUGACGGUAAUGGGUAAAGAAGCACCGGCUAACUACGUG